rnacentral:ncRNA from 1 species
CUUAUCCCGAGUGACUGAGGGAACAGGCCCUAUGAAGUCCGGCAACCUGCUUUUUUGAGUAAGGUGCCAAAUCCUGCGGUAUUUCCGAAAGAUGAG